rnacentral:rRNA from 1 species
GGAUUCCNUAGUAACGGCGAGUGAAGCGGGAAGAGCUCAAAUUUAAAAUCUGGCGGUUCACCGUCCGAGUUGUAGUCUAGAGAAGCAUCAUCUACGCUGGACCAUGUACAAGUCUCUUGGAACAGAGCGUCAUAGAGGGUGAGAAUCCCGUCCUUGACAUGGACUCCCAGUGUUCUGUGUUGUGCUCUCAACGAGUCGAGUUGUUUGGGAAUGCAGCUCAAAAUGGGUGGUAAAUUCCAUCUAAAGCUAAAUAUUGGCGAGAGACCGAUAGCGAACAAGUACCGUGAGGGAAAGAUGAAAAGCACUUUGGAGAGAGAGUUAAACAGUACGUGAAAUUGUUGAAAUGGAAACGCUUGAAGUCAGUCGCGUUCUCUGGGAUUCAGCCUUGCUUUUGCUUGGCGCAUUUCCUAGUCUACGGGCCAGCAUGGAUUUCGACCGUUGGAAAAGGGCUGGGGGAAUGUGGCACCUUCGGGUGUGUUAUAGCCCCCCGUCGCAUGCAUCGGUUGGGAUCGAGGACCUCAGUGCACGCUUCGGUUGUGCUUUGAUGCAGCGUAAUGGCUUAAACGACCGUCCUGAACACGACCAGAAUU